UGGAGAGGAGCCCAGGGAGGAGGAUGGGGGUUAAGAUCUGCCCAUCUGUGCUGGGAUCCAGAACCUCCCGAGGUGCUCUCCCAGUCUGGGCAGCAGGAGAGGGGGAAUUCUGCCCCACCCAGGUUCCUGCUGUGAUGACCAUCCCACAAAUCCAAACCUAAACCUUUGCUGCUCCACCUCUGCUCUCAUUCUGCUUUUCCAUACAUUUGGAAAACUCCUCUGCCUCGGAAAACACCUGUGCCAAGGCUUUAAGGAUAUUGCUGGACAAGGAGGAGAGGGAAAUGGAAUCACUGGGUUUUUGACGUGACUCCACGCAGUGAUGCUGCCCUGUCCCUGUGAAACGGGACAUUCCCUCUUCUCCCAGCUGCUUGUGGAGCUGGAUCAUCCCAGGAACUCCCAGGAGGAGUUCAGGCUGCUCAGAGGGGAGCAGGUCCCAGAGGGAGCAGGAAAAGCCCUGUGAGAUGCUGAAGGAACCUCCCUCGUCCCAGCUGGAAAACUCUGCAUGUGUGUGUCCUGUGUGCUGGAGUAUGAGGGGUCAGAUCCAGGGAAACCAACUCGGGAGGGCAGGAUAAAUAAAAAUGGUCUGGAUGCUAUUUUGUGUCCAUUUUGUGCCCAUUUUGAUUCCACCUUGGGUGUUUCCCUGCCCAGGCUCUUGUCCUGCCCAAGGUGGAUCCUAAAGGCAUUUCAAUAAAUCCCAACUUUAUUCUCCAGCUCUGUCCAGUCUCUGUUCCAGCUCAGCCCUCCCAAGGCAUCAAGGUCCCUCCUGAGCUCCUCUCCUCCAGGCUGAGCUGGAACCUCAGAGAGGAAUUUGUGAAUCCCUGAAGAAUCAGAGCAGAGGAAAACGGGGUAGGAAAGAGCCAAGGGAAUAAGAAAUCCUGGGAAUAACAGACCCUGGGUCACCUGGGUGGUGUUGCCGUGACUCCCUCCAGGAUAAGAACCAUGAGGCUCCUCCCAGGGAUCAGCUGCCAGAAGAGAUGUCCUGGAGGGAAAACUGGUGACAGAACUCCAUUUGCUCAGCAGGGAAUGUUCUUCACGUUCAUCUUUCCUGCAACUUUUAUUUCGGUCGUGGGAGGAAGCAGUCCCCGAAUUUUGUGGCAUCCUCUGCCAGGAAAGGAGGAAGUUCCUCCUGUGUGACAAAGCCAGCACAGCUCCACUGAACAGAAUUGAUUCAUGCCAGUGGGACUGGGAUGAGAAAUCCUUUAAAAACCCCUCUGGGAUGGGGAAGGGCUGUGAUUCCUCACUGAAGCAUCACCAGCCACUUUAAAGCUGCCUCGGGCUGUGCCAGGGGACAAAUCCCAACAAAACCUCUGCUCCCGCUGCCACCGUUUCAGAAAGCCCAGCCUGACUCCAGGGGGUUUGGAGUGGGCCAAAGAGAGCAGCGAUUUUCUUUUCCCUGUCAGUGAAUAUCCCCAAUUAUUUCGUUUCUUACGGAGACAUUUGGCAGCAGCUCCCUCCCCAGCCCCCGCCAGCAGCUCUUGUUCCCAAAUGAAACAAGAUCUUGGCCCGGCAGGAGCAGCGAAUUCGUCAUCGUUGGGCCCGGCGAUAUUUUCAUUUGCCCUAAUCAAUGACAUUUAUUUCAGGAAAUACAUGUUCCAAGGGCAUUUGUAAUAUUAAUAAACAGCACAGGGAAAGCGGGGAAUUCUCUCAGAGGAAAACAAAACCCCCCCGGGUCGUUUUUAUGGCGCAUUCCUUUUUGUGUGCGUGGCAUCGCCCUCGAAACGUCCUCGAAAUUAAUAUUCUUGAGAUUAAUAUUCUUGAAAUUAACUUUCAGUCGAGCCAACGGAGUCAGAUUCCUUGUCCUGGUUCAGCUGCCUUUGGUUCCCUCUGGAAUCUGCUGACCAUUUUCUUAAGGACGAGGAGUUCUCAGCCCUGGUGAAACCCAAGAGCAGCGGAUUCCUGACCCAGGCUAUUUCCAGGCUGGGAACAGGGGAUGUGCCUGGGACAUGGAGGAUGAAAUCUUGGCCCUGCUGGAGUUGAGCUCUGUUUCCCGCUGGUGAAAUCGGGAUUUCAGCGCAGGAUUUUUCCUCAGGUGGAGAAUCAGUUGCAAACCCCAAAUAUCUCCAGUCUGUCCUCGAAGCCCGGCGGGUCUCGCGUGUUUUUGAGGCGCAGGGCAGGUUGGGAGGACAUCAGAGAGAGCCAAAUGCUGAUCAGGGAGCUCAGGAGACCACGGCUGUUCCUGACUGGAGUCUUCCUCUCGCUGUGCCCUCCCGAAGGAUGAGGAUCCCAGAGCUCAGCCGGGGCCUGACCCAAGGCUUCGCUCUGUGAAAAACAGAGUUGGCCCCAAAACGUUUUGUUUUCACUUCAAUCCAGGGUUUUUAAGGGAGCAGGAGUGACGAGGAGGAGGGAUCCUGGAUGGUCCCGGUUGUCCCCGUGGGGAUGAAUUCCCAGCGGGUUUGUGGGAAAAAUCUUUGAUUUCCCUCCUUCCCUGCUGAAGGAACGUUCUGGAUCCUGGGCUGCCUCAGGAAUGUUCUCAGUGGGACUGAGGAGGGCGGUGGGAGCUCCCGGGGGGCUGAUCCGGGUGCGAUGGGACAAUCCAGCGUGGCUCCUGUCAGAAAGGAGAUUCCCGGAAUCCCAGACUGGUUUGGGUUGGGAGGAACCUGAAAUCCCAGCCAGUGCCAGCCCUGCCAUGGCAGGGACACCUCCCACUGUCCCAGGCUGCUCCAGCCUGGCCUUGGGCACUGCCAGGGAUCCAGGAGCAGCCACAGCUGCUCUGGGAAUCCCAGCCCAGUCCCUCCCCACCCUCCCAGCCAGGAAUUCCUUCCCCAGAUCCCACCUCAAUCCCACCUCUUCCCAUUUAAAGCCAUUCCCCCUUUUCCUGUCACUCUCCCUGUGUUAAAACAUCUCCCCCCUCUUUAAAUUCCCUUCCAAAGACUGGAAGGGGCUCUGAGGUUUCCCUGGAACUUUCUCCUCCCUGGGGUUCUCCAGCCUGGAGAAGUUCCCAAGCAGGGCUCCUCUAUUUAAUUUUUUGGGUUUUUUUUUGGGGUGGCUGAUCAGUUCCCAGCAGGAUCAGGUGGAGCCUGGGGAGGGAUGGGAACGUGUGGAUAAAACCAGGGGGGAUUUGGGGUCACCCCAGCUCCUUCAGGCUGCCAUGGAGCUGGGAAUUGCGUUUCCUCGGGCUGCGCUUCCCCUCUUUGGGUUUAGUGAAAGGUAACAGGGGGAUGGAGCGAAUCCAGGGCAGGAUCCAGCCGGGAUGGGACAAAGGAACCAAGGCGAAACGGAAAAUUCCCUCAUUUAUUUCCAGCGUUUGUGCAGCCACUUCCAAAGCCAGGCAAAGAGCUCCUGCGGAAAACGCCGAGCGGAUCUCGCAAAACUCGACCUCGUGGCAAAAAAAUGUCCUCCCUCGGCUCUGCUCGGGCUCGUGAAUGAUCUUAAACAGAAUUUUAUUUUCCUUGGAGAGGGAGGGAAGGGCAGAAUAUUAAAAUAAUCUUUGUGCUUUUCACAGCAGUAAUGAACAGGCAGAGCCUUGUGGAAGUGCUUUUCCUUGGGCUUGGGGAGCUCGGCGCAGCCUUUUCUUUCUGCUCUUAAUGAUGCUCAUAUUUAAAUUACUUAAUUUUUUUUUUAUUAUUUAAAAUGAUGAUUAUAAUAAUUAGCAAUUUUAGCAUUAUACAAUAAUUAAUGUUAUGAUGAUAAAUGGUAUUUAUAAUAAGUAAUAAUUGGUCAAAAGUAUUUGCUUUUAAAUUGUUUCAUCAUUAAAUUAAUACCAAAUUAUUAUAUAAUAAAUAUAUUAUUAUUCAGGGGUUUAGAGCACCCUCACUGCUUGCUAUCUUUAGGGAAAGUUUCACAAGAGCCUGUGUUAACCCAUAAAUUCCGUAGUGGCCAGAAACUCUUCUUUUUUUUUUUUUGUUUUGUUUUUCCCAGCUGAGGAUGUGAUAAAAAGUUCUUGAAUUUUACUCCUGGAUUCUCCUGUGGUUUAGCAAGCAUGGGAAAAAAAAAAUAAAAUUAAAAACCCCAGGGGAUUUGCCAAGCCAGGACGCUGCCCGGGGUCUCAGAGGGCGCUGGGGUUUCCCUCCUUGUUUUUCUUAACUCUGGAACUGUUAAAAAAAAAUCCCUUUUCCCUCGGGAUCCUGUUUGUUUUCCACACCAGUUAGGAAGGAAGGCACCAUUCCACCGUUAUUCCACCGUUAUUCCACCAUUCCUCCACCGUUCCUCCCACCAUUCCUCCCACCAUUCCUCCACCAUUCCUCCCACCAUCUCCCCAUUCCAUUGGGGCUGAGGACAGCCAGCCCUGAGGUGGAACUCGGGGUGUUUUUCCCCCUCUCCCAGAACACAGAGUUCAUUUUCCUUUGCUCGUGUCCUUCCCUGAACCCCUUUGUCCCACGCCUCCGGUGAUUGUUUCCCGAGCAUCCUCUGGGAUGUCCCUGGUUGUGCCCGGGGAUCCUGGGGCUGGCUUCCCCCUCCCCUGGCACGGAUUUAUUUUCUCUCCCCCCUCUCAAUUCGCAAGACCGGAGAGGAAAUCGCGACUUUCGGGACUUUUGGGAGGGAGAGGAGCCGGAGAACGGGAACAUCUCGGAGCCACCUGGCGGCAGCAGAUCCUGGGAUUUGGGGAGGUUUUUAGGAGAUUCCUGCUCGCCUUUGAACCGCAGAUGGAUCAAAGGCAGCUUCAGCACUGGCUGAAGGUUCAAACACGGGGUUGCCUCGUGGGUUUUGGGGUUUUUGGGGGGGUUUUUUGUGCUGUUG